GGGGAGCAUUUAAAGUUUAAAUGUUGCCUAAUAUACCCUUCCUAGAACAAAAAAUAAAAAAGAAAAAUAUCUGCUUUUCCUACUUGUUGUACGUGAGACACGUCUACAAGCCUCUUGACUAUGAGAUACAUAU